UACAGAGGUCUCGAGCGUUAGGCGGAAUCACCGGGCUUAAAGCGUGUGUAGGCGGAUCGUUAAGUACCUUGUGAAAUCCCACGGCUUAACCGUGGAACUGCUUGGUAUACUGGCGGUCUUGAGCCAGCUAGGGGCUACCGGAACAAAUGGUGGAGCGGUGAAAUGCGUAGAUAUCAUUUGGAACGCCAAUGGUGAAAACAGGUAGCUGGGGUUGUGCUGACGCUGAGACACGAAAGCCAGGGGAGCGAACGGG
rnacentral:rRNA from 1 species